GGACCUGUGGCAGAGCGGUUGAAUGCACCGGUUUUGAAAACCGGCAGGGGCGCAAGUCUCUCGUGGGUUCGAAUCCCACCGGGUCCG
rnacentral:tRNA from 1 species